rnacentral:rRNA from 2 species
UGCAGUCGAACGAUGAUCCCAGCUUGCUGGGGGAUUAGUGGCGAACGGGUGAGUAACACGUGAGUAACCUGCCCUUGACUCUGGGAUAAGCCUGGGAAACUGGGUCUAAUACCGGAUACGACCAUCUGGCGCAUGUCAUGGUGGUGGAAAGCUUUUGUGGUUUUGGAUGGACUCGCGGCCUAUCAGCUUGUUGGUGGGGUAAUGGCCUACCAAGGCGACGACGGGUAGCCGGCCUGAGAGGGUGACCGGCCACACUGGGACUGAGACACGGCCCAGACUCCUACGGGAGGCAGCAGUGGGGAAUAUUGCACAAUGGGCGCAAGCCUGAUGCAGCGACGCCGCGUGAGGGAUGACGGCCUUCGGGUUGUAAACCUCUUUCAGUAGGGAAGAAGCGAAAGUGACGGUACCUGCAGAAGAAGCGCCGGCUAACUACGUGCCAGCAGCCGCGGUAAUACGUAGGGCGCAAGCGUUAUCCGGAAUUAUUGGGCGUAAAGAGCUCGUAGGCGGUUUGUCGCGUCUGCUGUGAAAGACCGGGGCUCAACUCCGGUUCUGCAGUGGGUACGGGCAGACUAGAGUGCAGUAGGGGAGACUGGAAUUCCUGGUGUAGCGGUGAAAUGCGCAGAUAUCAGGAGGAACACCGAUGGCGAAGGCAGGUCUCUGGGCUGUAACUGACGCUGAGGAGCGAAAGCAUGGGGAGCGAACAGGAUUAGAUACCCUGGUAGUCCAUGCCGUAAACGUUGGGCACUAGGUGUGGGGGACAUUCCACGUUUUCCGCGCCGUAGCUAACGCAUUAAGUGCCCCGCCUGGGGAGUACGGCCGCAAGGCUAAAACUCAAAGGAAUUGACGGGGGCCCGCACAAGCGGCGGAGCAUGCGGAUUAAUUCGAUGCAACGCGAAGANCUUACCAAGGCUUGACAUGACCGGAAGA